GCUCUUCUGAGGCUGCUGCCAGUGGUCAAAGCCUCCAACAAAGCUCUACUGAGUCACUGUAACCUCUCAGAGAAAAGCUGUGAAGCUCUCUCCUCAAUUCUCAGCUCCCAAGCUUCCUGUCUGAGGUUGCUGGACCUGAAUAAUAACAACUUGCAGGAUUCAGGAGUGAAGCUUCUGUCUACUGGGGUGAACAGUCCAUACUGCAAACUGGAAAUUCUGCGGCUGAAUGUCUGUAACCUGUCAGAGAGAAGCUGUGAAACACUGUCCGCAGUUCUCAGCUCCAAGUCCUGUAGUCUGAGAGAGUUGGACCUGAGUAACAACAACAUAAAGGAGCCAGGACUGCAGCUUCUAUCUGCUGCUGUGGAGAGUCCAUACUGUACGCUGGAAAUUCUCAGGGUGGACCCUGCUGGAGUCCGAUGGUUGAGACCAGGUCUGAGGAAGU